AAUCAACGCUGGCGGCGUGCCUCAGACAUGCAAGUCGAACGAUUAAAGCUCUCUUCGGAGAGUGCAUAGAGUGGCGCACGGGUGAGUAACACGUAAGUAAUCUACCUUCGAGUGGGGAAUAACGUCCGGAAACGGACGCUAAUACCGCAUAAUGCAGCGGCAUCGCAAGAUGACAGUUGUUAAAGGAGCAAUUCGCUUGAAGAGGAGCUUGCGGCAGAUUAGCUAGUUGGUAAGGUAAUGGCUUACCAAGGCUACGAUCUGUAACCGGUCUUAGAGGACGGUCGGUCACACUGACACUGAAUAACGGGUCAGACUCCUACGGGAGGCAGCAGUCGGGAAUUUUGGGCAAUGGGCGAAAGCCUGACCCAGCAACGCCGCGUGAAGGAUG
rnacentral:rRNA from 1 species